UUUCCGUAGGUGAACCUGCGGAAGGAUCAUUAUCGUACAAAAUGUGAGGGGCAUGCGAGGGCUGUCGCCGACCGAAAAGUCGUGCACGCCCGAGUGUGUCCUCUUGCAUAAUAAUCCAUCUCACCCUUUGUGCAUCACCGCGUGGGCACCCUUCGGGAUCAUCUCGGAGGGGGGCUCGCGUUUUCACACAAACCCCCCUUUUAAAAGUGUAGAAUGACCACAUUUAUGCAAUCAAUACAACUUUCAACAACGGAUCUCUUGGCUCUC
rnacentral:misc_RNA from 1 species